AACCUGAAAAACAGAUUUAUGGUGAAAUUAGCUGAUAGGCUUUGCUCAGCUCCCUGGGAGUAAGUGGUCAUCAAACAAAAAUAACGAGCACAUAGGAGUUCUCAAAGAGGAAUAAAAUGGGUUUAAACACUGACUGAACUGAUUUUAACCUCUGUGAAAACUGAACUAUCCAAAAAAAAACAAUUAUUUUUGUAAAUGUGAUCCUUUAUCUGCAUUAAGUCAAUCAAUGGAAUGCUAAUUUUCCAAGUAGUAUGGAAGUCAGUACAUACAAAUUCUAAUAUGGGGCAUGCACAAUUCCUAUGUUCUGUCUUAUUACUACACCUGCUAUGCUUGUUCUUACAGGCAAUAAUGAAUUGUCCUUUGAAAAAAAAAAAUAAAUGUUAUAUUCCUGAAAUAUGUGGCAAGGGAAAAAAGAAACUAGAUGUGGGCUCAUCCAUUUCUUUCAGAUUAAAAUGUAGAUUUGCACUGCAGCUGGACAAACCCUGGCUCCAGUUUCACAAGAAGAAUUCAGCUGCUCCAUGCACGAAACUGAAGCUAAAUUGUAGUCCUGGGAUGGAACAGGGAGAAGCAUCUGGCCACUAAGAGACACUAGCAGCAAGUAAGCCCCCUUUCUCAUGCAGCCUGCUUACUUUUUCUAAAAGAGACAAGAAAAAAAGCACCACGAGUUUUGUCCAAAGCCUUUUCAGCUUUAGGAAAAAAAAAAAAAAAAAAAAAAAAAAGUCUUGUGCAGUAAGAGUCUCAGGUACCUAAGACAUUUUUUAGUAAAGAUUCCAGAAAGAAGAGCCACGGCUAUGUGUAGCACAUGCAGUCAACAAACUGCAAUUGUGCAAUCUGUUUUGCCUCUUUUAGACCCAUUGUCAGUUUUAGUGCUUUCCCUUAUCAGAAGCUAUCACCCUUAUCACGCAGGGAGAGGCAGACUCUCAGCCUUUUGUAACAGUGCUGGAAGCACUACAGGAGAAGCAGAAAAUAAUCUACUUUCACAGUCGAAGAUCAAUAAGAACAUACAAUUUUCCUUCCUUUUCUGUGUGACAACUUAAACUCUGUUCAUGUUAUUUACCCUGGCUGUGGUUAUACUUCACUGUAGACAUCAUCAGGUAGAACUGGUAUUUUAUGUCCUGGAGAGUUCACGGCAGCGUUGCAGGAGUUUAUAUUGUCAACCAUCUUGCAAGAUCUUUAGUAUUUCUGUGAAACUUGCAUAAAUACUUUUUUAAAUGGACAAUUUUCUCUCCAGUAACAUAGUGACUUGUGCUCCUCGGACUGGGUCAGGAUUACGUAUAUUCACUGAUGCUCGUUUGGACAGAAGGUUUUACAGAUUUUACAACAGUGACAAUCACCUGGCAACUCUGCUAGAAACAGCAGUCUGCAUUUCCUGUCCUAGCUCCUGAACCCUUGCUGCUGGGCCCUGUCUUUUCUUCCAUUGAAGGAGAUGGGAGCUUUGCCACUGACAGCAGGAGUGCAGACACAGAUUAGGCAAGGUGUUGGAGGAUUUUCUGCACACCCUGUAGGUAUUUAGGGAACCAUGUGCUAUGUGAUCCUAAAUACAAGCUUACGCAGUUUGAACUCUUGAGCUAAACCCAGAUAUUUCCAGGCCGGCAAAGCUACCCACUGAGUGUACGUCUGAGAAAGUACAUUCUGAAUUAUUUCUGACUGUAUUUCUGAGUUAUGCCCUGACUGUACAUCUGACUUAUUUCUUCUGGCAAGUAUCAAGAGUAUGUUAGUGAAAUGUGCCUGGAUAUAGUAGCUUAAGAUGGAGCUAUGCUGGAAAUGUUCCUGCAGCUGUUACUUGGAAAACAUCUGUGGUACUGUGCACUUGUACAUCUCUGUUCACACUGGCACAGAGCAAUUGAUCUUGUGGAACAAAGUAUAAAUUAUUGUUGGGAGAUACGAGAAGGACAUUCUGCACCGAUGAACAUGAAAUGAAUGAAGGCAGUAGUGGUUUGGAAAUAGAGGGGCAAAAAAUCCAGUGUUUCAUUGCUGGCACAGGCAGUAAAGAGCAACAUCAGCAGACUCUGUGACACCUCCAGAACUCCAAGUGCUAGCUAUCUGAGUAAGAAUAACCAAGCCACUAGCCUUGAGGCGUGACAUUUUUUACGCUUAGCCUAGAAAAAAGCUUCUGACUUUGAUAAUCGCUGACAGUCUGUGUUUGCAUAGUCUGAUAAAGGGGAGAAUAUCCAGGUUGACAUGAUGUGUUGUUUACGGUCAAUGCCUGUCCCUAUGCAAAGCAAAAAAGACAUCACCCCGAAGAAUUCAAUUCUAGCCAAAGACAUAUAAUAAGGUAUAUUUAAGAAACCCUCUACAAGGACUGUGAGAAGUAUUUUGUUUAGAGCACAUUAGUUAAUUAAGGGAUUUUUUCAUCUCUUUAGGCCUUCAAAUUAAGCCUGGGUCAUUAGAAGAUGUGCUUAAGUGAAUUCUAAUGGCCUAUUGUAUUCAAGAACUCAGACCGGAUGAUCUUUGAAAAGCAAGUGUGUGAGAAAUGGAGAAUGACUUCAGAAACAGCAGAGUGUGGGACGAUGAGAAACCAGACGAGAUAUCUGGUAGCCAGAAAUUUGUCACUGUUACUGAGCCAGGGCUCCUGCAAAGAGCCGAUGAGGUGUCAGCUGCAAUACAUGACUCACCAUGUCGUCUCCCAGUAGCCUUGAGUGAGCUCCGUGGCACAUAACGUGUACGCUUUGCUGUUUUACCUAUUUUCUCUCAUGAUACCUGCAUUGCAUCAUUAAAAAAUAGAAAUCAAGAUGGAAAUAUCUUUCUAGUGCUUUGUGGACGCUUUGUGCUAAGGGUCUUUCAUCUCAUCUUUAAUCCAAAUUAUAAAAAAUGGAUUUGCACCAUACUAAAUCUGUAAAUAAAUUUAAAAUAUCCAUUCCUAGUCCUCGAACUGAAUGCCUCCUAGCAAG